CUCACAUUGAUGACUUAUGGAGAAACAAGACGGUCUUGGGGUGCAGAGGCUACUUUUAUCCUUUCCCAAUCUCCAAACACCCCUCGCAUUCUCCUCUGAUUCCUCAGCAGGAACAGUCAUGUAGAAGAGACCCAAGAAGGUGAGGACACAUGAAUAUGGUGUUCAUUUUCAAAACUUGAAAAAGAAGAUAAUUGCAGGUGGAGCCAUCUGAGGCAAGAGACGACACUUGAGUUGUCAAUAAGAGAUCCCAUCAUUGUCUACAGUCCCCAACCAGGGCUCUCUGAGGGUCACAGAGGCCAACCGCAGUGGCUGGAAGUCUUCACUUGAGUCAUCUGAGCUGACCAGUACAGGUUUCCCCUGAGGACUCACCAACUGUGAGGAUAACUGUAGAGUUCGUGGUUUUCGCACACAUCUUCUUGGAAGGCUGGAUGCUGGUUCACAAUUCUGCCCUGCGAAUAUCUAUCUGCAGAUGUUCACUUGUCUCCCUCGCUCUUCAAAAUGAAGCAAAUAUAUACGGAUACAAGAUUCAAUAAGAAGUAUUGAGCAAAUCAAGUUAAAAAAUGCCCCCUAAACCCUCCAGAGGCCCAGACACUAAACAUAUUUUUCCAUUUAA